CGUAGUUGGAUUUCUGGGCCGGAGAGCUGGUCUCGCCCGCAAGGGCGCUGCACCGUGCUCUGCCGGCUCAUCCUCGGGUGGGUCCGUACUGGCAUUAGGUUGUUGGUUCGGGGAAGCCCGUCUUUUACUGUGAAAAAAUUAGAGUGUUCAAAGCAGGCUUAAGCCGUUGGAUACAUUAGCAUGGAAUAAUGAGAUAGGACCGUGGUGUUUUAUUUUGUUGGUUUGCACGCCAAGGUAAUGA
rnacentral:rRNA from 1 species